GCGGGUCUGAGAGGAUGAUCCGCCACACUGGAACUGAGACACGGUCCAGACUCCUACUGGAGGCAGCAGUGGGGAAUUUUGGACAAUGGGGGCAACCCUGAUCCAGCCAUGCCGCGUGAGUGAAGAAGGCCUUCGGGUUGUAAAGCUCUUUCGGCCGGGAAGAAAUCGCAUGGGCCAAUACCCUGUGUGGAUGACGGUACCGGAAUAAGAAGCACCGGCUAACUACGUGCCAGCAGCCGCGGUAAUACGUAGGGUGCGAGCGUUAAUCGGAAUUACUGGGCGUAAAGCGUGCGCAGGCGGUUUUGUAAGACAGGCGUGAAAUCCCCGGGCUUAACCUGGGAACUGCGUUUGUGACUGCAAGGCUAGAGUACGGCAGAGGGGGGUGGAAUUCCACGUGCAGCAAUGAAAUGCGUAGAGAUGUGGAGGAACACCAAUGGCGAAGGCAGCCCCCUGGGUCGAUACUGACGCUCAUGCACGAAAGCGUGGGUAGCAAACAGGAUUAGAUACCCUGGUAGUCCACGCCCUAAGCUAUGUCAACUAGGUGUUGGGUGGGUAAAACCAUUUAGUACCGUAGCUAACGCGUGAAGUUGACCGCCUGGGGAGUACGGCCGCAAGGUUAAAACUCAAAGGAAUUGACGGGGACCCGCACAAGCGGUGGAUGAUGUGGAUUAAUUCGAUGCAACGCGAAAAACCUUACCUACCCUUGACAUGCCAGGAACUUGCCAGAGAUGGCUUGGUGCCCGAAAGGGAGCCUGGACACAGGUGCUGCAUGGCUGUCGUCAGCUCGUGUCGUGAGAUGUUGGGUUAAGUCCCGUAACGAGCGCAACCCUUGUCGUUAAUUGCCAUCAUUUAGUUGGGCACUUUAACGAGACUGCCGGUGACAAACCGGAGGAAGGUGGGGAUGACGUCAAGUCCUCAUGGCCCUUAUGGGUAGGGCUUCACACGUCAUACAAUGGUCGGUACAAAGGGUUGCCAAGCCGCGAGGCGGAGCCAAUCCCAGAAAGCCGAUCGUAGUCCGGAUUGCAGGCUGCAACUCGCCUGCAUGAAGUCGGAAUCGCUAGUAAUCGUGGAUCAGCAUGUCACGGUGAAUACGUUCCCGGGUCUUGUACACACCGCCCGUCACACCAUGGGAGCGGGUUCCGCCAGAAGUAGGUAGCCUAACCGCAAGGGGGGCGCUUACCACGGCGGGGUUCGUGACUGGGGUGAAGUCGAAACAAGGUA
rnacentral:rRNA from 1 species